rnacentral:rRNA from 1 species
GGGUCAGUAGGUUGGUCGUGCCACCGGUACGUACUGGUCUCACUGAUUCCUCCUUCCUGAAGAACCGUAAUGCCAUUAAUUUGGUGUUGCGGGGAAACAGGACUGUUACUUUGAAAAAAUUAGAGUGUUUAAAGCAAGCUAACGCUUGGAUACAUUAGCAUGGAACAAUGAAAUAGGACGAUCGAUCCUAUUUUGUUGGUUUCUAGGAUUGACGUA